rnacentral:rRNA from 1 species
ACUCGAGUCUUUGACGCAAGUUGCGCCCGAAGCCAUUAGGUUGAGGGCACGCCUGCCUGGGUGUCACACAUCGUCAUCCCCAUGCAAAUGUGCAUUGCGGUGGAAGUUGGCUUCCUGCGAGGCAUUCCUCGUGGUUGGUUCAAAACUAAGUUAACAGCGAAGUCCCUCGCGAUGAAUGGUGGAUGAGUAUUUUUCUCGAGACCAAUUGUGGUUGUGGUACUUCGAUGGAUCUAAAUGGUUGACCCAAGAUUUUCUUUUUGAGACCUCAGGUCAGGCGGGGCUACCCGCUGAGUUUAAGCAUAUCAAUAAGCGGAGGAAAAGAAACUAACAAGGAUUCCCUUAGUAACGGCGAGCGAACCGGGAACAGCCCACCAUGAGAAUCGAUCGCCUUUGGCGUUUGAAUUGUAGUUAG